UGCCGGCGACCGGCGGACGGGUGCGUAACGCGUAUGUAACCUACCUUUGACAGGGGGAUAACAUCGAGAAAUUGGUACUAAUACCCCAUAACAUCACCGGAGGCAUCUUCGGUGGUUGAAAACUCAGGUGGUCAGAGAUGGACAUGCGUUGUAUUAGCUAGUUGGUGAGGUAACGGCUCACCAAGGCGACGAUACAUAGGGGGACUGAGAGGUCAACCCCCCACAUUGGUACUGAGACACGGACCAAACUCCUACGGGAGGCAGCAG
rnacentral:rRNA from 1 species